UAAGCAUCAUUCAUCAUCUUCCUGGAGCAGGAUGCUCAUCGUGCAAGGAUCAAUGAAGACUUAAAAACAUUAUUGCAAUCGUGCGCGCUGCAAUCGAGUGUUAUUUCGCUUAAAUAACAUAAUCGCGGAGUAGAAGCAGUGAUUGUUCGUCAACUUAAAUUUACUCGCGUUUCGCGAUUUAAAUUAUUCUUUAGGAAUAUGUAAACGUGAACGGACUGCGUGCAAGGCAGUCGCGUAAUAAAUAAAUAAUUGUCGCGUAUUAGAGUCAGUGCAUCAUGGAAGAUUAUCAAGAAACUAGUACACAUUCUUUUAGGAUAUUAUUGAUCAUCACAGUUGUAGCAGUCUACAAUCAUUUGAACCUCUACCCAAUUUCGACCUACAUCGAUGUCUACCUACCUCAUUUUCAACCUACAACGCGGACGAGUGUUUUGGA